rnacentral:rRNA from 1 species
CCCGCACAAGCAGCGGAGCGUGUGGUUUAAUUCGAUGCUACACGAAGAACUUACCAGGUUUGACAUACAAGUAGUAGGAAAGGAAACUGGACCGACCCUUCGGGAGCUUGUACAGGUGCUGCAUGGCUGUCGUCAGCUCGUGUCGUGAGAUGUUCGGUUAAGUCCGCUAACGAGCGCAACCCUCGCUGUGUGUUACAAGUGUCACACGGAACUGCCGGUCAUAAACCGGAGGAAGGUGGGGAUGACGUCAAAUCAGCACGGCCCUUAUGUCCAGGGCUACACACGUGUUACAAUGGCCAGUACAAAGGGCAGCUACCGGGUGACCGGAUGCUAAUCUCUAAAGCUGGUCUCAGUUCGGAUCGAAGUCUGCAACCCGACUUCGUGAAGCUGGAUUCGCUAGUAAUCGCGCAUCAGCCAUGGCGCGGUGAAUACGUUCCCGGGCCUU